GUAGGUGGCAAGCGUUGUCCGGAAUUAUUGGGCGUAAAGCGCGCGCAGGCGGUUCUUUAAGUCUGAUGUGAAAGCCCACGGCUCAACCGUGGAGGGUCAUUGGAAACUGGAGAACUUGAGUACAGAAGAGGAAAGCGGAAUUCCACGUGUAGCGGUGAAAUGCGUAGAGAUGUGGAGGAACACCAGUGGCGAAGGCGGCUUUCUGGUCUGUAACUGACGCUGAGGCGCGAAAGCGCGGGGAGCAAACAGGGAUUAGAUACCCUGGUAGUCCACGCCGUAAACGAUGAGUGCUAAGUGUUAGGGGGUUUCCGCCCCCUUAGUGCUGCAGCUAACGCAUUAAGCACUCCGCCUGGGGAGUACGGCCGCAAGGCUG
rnacentral:rRNA from 1 species